UACGUAGGGGGCAAGCGUUGUCCGGAUUCAUUGGGCGUAAAGAGCGUGUAGGCGGCCAGGUAGGUCGGUUGUGAAAACUGGAGGCUCAACCUUCAGAGGUCGACCGAAACCAUCUGGCUAGAGUCCGGGAGAGGAGAGUGGAAUUCCGUGGUGUAGCGGUGAAAUGCGCAGAUAUCUGGAGGAACACCGGUGGCGAAGGCGACAUCCUGGACCGGUAUUGACGCUGAGGCGCGAAAGCCAGGGGAGCAAAGCAGG
rnacentral:rRNA from 1 species